CCUACGGGAGGCAGCAGUGGGGAAUAUUGCGCAAUGGGCGAAAGCCUGACGCAGCGACGCCGCGUGAGGGAUGAAGGUCUUCGGAUCGUAAACCUCUGUCAGCAGGGAAGAACGGUCACUGUGCUAAUCAGCAGUGAAUUGACGGUACCUGACUAAGAAGCCCCGGCUAACUACGUGCCAGCAGCCGCGGUAAUACGUAGGGGGCAAGCGUUAUCCGGAUUUACUGGGUGUAAAGGGAGCGUAGACGGCAGCGCAAGUCUGGAGUGAAAGCCCAUGGCUUAACCAUGGAACUGCUUUGGAAACUGGGCAGCUAGAGUGCAGGAGAGGUAAGCGGAAUUCCUGGUGUAGCGGUGAAAUGCGUAGAUAUUAGGAGGAACACCAGUGGCGAAGGCGGCUUACUGGACUGUAACUGACGUUGAGGCUCGAAAGCGUGGGGAGCAAACAGGAUUAGAUACCCUUGUAGUC
rnacentral:rRNA from 1 species